UACGUAGGGCGCAAGCGUUGUCCGGAAUUAUUGGGCGUAAAGAGCUCGUAGGCGGUUUGUCGCGUCUGCCGUGAAAGUCCGGGGCUCAACUCCGGAUCUGCGGUGGGUACGGGCAGACUAGAGUGAUGUAGGGGAGACUGGAAUUCCUGGUGUAGCGGUGAAAUGCGCAGAUAUCAGGAGGAACACCGGUGGCGAAGGCGGGUCUCUGGGCCGUAACUGACGCUGAGGAGCGAAAGCGUGGGGAGCGAACAGG
rnacentral:rRNA from 1 species